GGCCUUGGUGAUCAUAAUAACUUAACGAAUCGCAUGGCCUUGUUGCGGCGACGGUUCAUUCAAAUUUCUGCCCUAUCAACUUUCGAUGGUAGGAUAGUGGCCUACCAUGGUUUCAACGGGUAACGGGGAAUUAGGGUUCUAUUCCGGAGAGGGAGCCUGAGAAACGGUACCACAUCCAAGGAAGGCAGCAGGCGCGCAAAUUACCCAAUCCCGACACGGGGAGGUAGUGACAAUAAAUACUGAUACAGGGCUCUUUUGGGUCUUGUAAUUGGAAUGAGUACAAUUUAAAUCCCUUAACGAGGAACAAUUGGAGGGCAAGUCUGGUGCCAGCAGCCGCGGUAAUUCCAGCUCCAAUAGCGGUAUAUUAAAGUUGUUGCAGUUUAA
rnacentral:rRNA from 1 species